rnacentral:rRNA from 1 species
AUUGAACGCUAGCGGGAUGCUUUACACAUGCAAGUCGAACGGUGUGGCGGACGGGUGAGUAAUCUAUCGGAACGUGCCCAGUAGCGGGGGAUCACUACUCGAAAGAGUGGAUAAUACCGCAUUCUAUUGGAGCGGCCGAUAUCGGAUUAGCUAGUUGGUGGGGUAAAGGCUCACCAAGGCAACGCUCCGUAGCUGGUUUGAGAGGACGACCAGCCACACUGGGACUGAGACACGGCCCAGACUCCUACGGGAGGCAGCAGUGGGGAAUUUUGGACAAUGGGGGAAACCCUGAUCCAGCCAUCCCGCGUGUAUGAAGAAGGCCUUCGGGUUGUAAAGUACUUUUGGCAGAGAAGCGGUAUCUGCAGAAGAAGCACCGGCUAACUACGUGCCAGCAGCCGCGGUAAUUC